UACGUAGGGUGCAAGCGUUGUUCGCAAUCACUGGGCGUAACGGGCGCGUAGUCGGCGUUUUAAGUCGGGGGUGAAAGCCUGUGGCUCAACCACAGAAUGGCCUUCGAUACUGGGACGCUUGAGUAUGGUAGAGGUUGGUGGAACUGCGAGUGUAGAGGUGAAAUUCGUAGAUAUUCGCAAGAACACCGGUGGCGAAGGCGGCCAACUGGACCAUUACUGACGCUGAGGCGCGAAAGCGUGGGGAGCAAACAGG
rnacentral:rRNA from 1 species